UACUAAACAAUAGAAGGGAUGAUGGGUGGACGAUGGACAAAUAAUCUUAUUUUCUACAUUUGAAAUCGCAUAUUUCAAAUCACACAAAAUAGGAUUAGUCUGCCCAUUUUCUAUAUACUGUACAGCUAUUGAAUCAAAUAGCUUAUUUGAACAACGCAAAAAUGCGGCUAAUCCUUCCAAAUCAAUUGGGAGGAUUUUUUU
rfam:Bacillus sp. FJAT-27231 Scaffold1, whole genome shotgun sequence.